rnacentral:lncRNA from 1 species
CCCUCACGUCGGCGAUGUUGCGGAUGCCCCCGAGGCCUCUUGCUCUUCUCCCGUCCUCCAGGUCUCGUGUCGGUGACCUCAGGGAGACGGCGAAGUUGAUUCGGUGACCGUGGUGGCACAUGUUGGUGGGCGGCGGGAUGGGCGGUACACUAUGAUUCGUCUGGGGUGGUGGUGGGGGUUUGGGUUGGGAGAAAUCUUUGGCGGCUCGUCCGGCCCCGACGUGGCGACGCCUGUGGGUGCCGCCGGACCUUCCUGAAGGGCGUCGGGUACACCCUCCCCCCACUGCCCCCCGCGUACCGGGGGAAACCCUAGGACUAGUCCGGGCAACAGCGGCGUCGUCGUCGUCUCCUUCUUGAAGGUGUUGCUUGGUACGGCGCUUCGGAGUGCUGGGAGCGUGGUGGUACUUCUUUGGAGGGUGCAGCGGUCGCCGGUCGUCUCCGUUCGUUGAUCUGCCGUUGCUGGCAUUAGUUUCUCUUUCUUUCUUCUCUGUUUUUCUUUGGGCUUGUUUGUGCUGCGGCCCCAGCACCUUUCGUUGGAUGUAUCGGUGGUUGCUUUGUAAUACAAAGCAGGGGAAACCCUUUUUCGUUAAAUAGGUGUUUGAUGAGAUUCCCCUUGCACAAAUAGGUGUUUGAUUUGUGAGGAAAACUAGGGGAGAGUGAAGAAAGCCAUUAGAUUACCUGGCCGGGGGCUAUCCGCGCACUCGAUCUUGAUGAGCUGCACUCCGCCAUGGUGUAGACCUGCUGCUAGCUGAUGCCGACAAAGACGAUGGCGCUGCUACUGGCACCCCCCUCAAGCUGCGUGAAGGCAACGUCCCAACUCAUCUUAAAGUCGUCGGCCCUGAAGUUGAGUUGGAUCCAUUGCCACGGCAUUGCCACCAUAGAGGACAUGACGGGAGAUUGCAGCAGGUCUACGGUUGCCGGAUCGUGACACCGCGAGAUUGGGCGAGAUGAAAAUUAGAUUAGAUUUUUUCCUUUGUUUUUGGAAGGAGACGGUUAGAGUUUAUGAGUCGACAGAGUUUUUUAAAAUUAAAGAUAUAUAGAUUCGUUUUAUCACGGGAGGAAGAAUCGGUAGAUUAAUGGAAUGCUUUUAUUACGGGAGGAAGCUUGCUUUUAAUACGGGAGGAAGAAUCGGUAGAUUAAUAGCAUUUUUUUUCGUUGUUGAGCAAAUUUUCAAGACAGGAUUAUGGAUUGAUCUACACCGUAAUAAUUCGGCCCCACCAGAUUAACGGCUCAUAAUUACUGAUUAACGUGGUAAUUUCUAGGAAGUCUGUAAUUAGUAUAGGUAUAGAUAGAUAGAUAGAUAGAUAGAUUGAUUGAUUGACCCGAGAUUAAGCCAUAGUGACCCGAGAUUAAGAAAAAAAACAAAAAAAUUGAUAAAAAAUUUUGAAAAAAAAAUUGUUACUAAUGACGCACUCCUAUGUGGUGCGCAAUUACUAAGUAAGAUAGUAAUGGCGCACCUCUAGGCAUACUAAUGGCGCACUACAGGUGCGCCAUUAGUAUCUGGUAUACUAAUGGUGCACCAGUGGUGCGCCAUUAGUAAAAAUACUAGUGGCGUGGUACUAGUGGCGCUCCAGUAGUGCGCCAUUAGUAGGCAAAACUGGUGCGCCACUAAUAGGCCUUUUCCUAGUAGUGGUUUGUGUAGGUGCGUGGGACUUUUGAGGAGCCUCCUACUGGAUUGAUGCCUUGGUUCUCAGAAAUUGAGGGAAAUACUUACGCUACUAUUGCUGCAUCACCCUUUCCUCUUCAAGGAAAACCAACGCAAGCUCAAGACGUAGCAAGAAGGAUUUCUGGCGCCGUUGCCGGGGAGGUCUUCGCUCAAGUCAAGACAUACCAAGUACUCAUCACAAACCUAUCUCUCUCGCAUUUACAUUAUUUUCCAUUUGCCUCUCGUUUUCCUCUCCCCCACUUCACCCUUGCCGUUUUAUUCGCCCUCUCUUUCCUAAUCUCUUCUCUCUUUUGCUUGCCCUUUCGUUUGCUCGUUUGGUUGGAAUAGAUGCUUAUUUAUUGCUAAACAGAGAACCUAAGAUCUAUGGAUCCUCAUCCGCCUGCUAAUCUUUUUAAGAGAUCCAAUUAUUAUGAACCAAUUGCUAGUGACUUUUGUGCACUAGAUUAUCUUUAUGAAGCUUUGCUCAAAAUUUGUGAAUCUGAAAAUUAUGAUAAAGAGAUUCACAAUAACUCCUUGAAUAAAAAGCAUGAUUGCAAUGAUUUUCCUAUAAAUUCUCUUGAUAUCAAUUGUGCUAAUAAUAUGCAAAACCCUAAGCUUGGGGAUGCUAGUUUUGUUAUGUCCACUACUUGUUUCAAUGAUCAUGAUUGGGGUGAUUCUUCUUAUAACCUUGAAAAUUUAUUUAAGCCCCAUGAUGAAUAUGAGACUAAUAAUAGUGUUUGCAAUAAUAUUGUAAGUGGGUUUGGAAGAGUGUCAACUUUAGAUCCCACAUAUUUGGAGUAUGUUCAAUCUUAUGAUAUUUUUGAUAAAAGUGGGUUCGGAAAGGUCAUGACUUUAGUUAAUGUUAAUCCCACUAUCUUGGAAGAGUGUCAACUUUGCAUGCAUGUGGAUCAUGUUGAGAAUAUGUUUUGUGAUAGCUAUUUUGUUGAAUUUGCCUAUGAUCCUACAUGUAAUUAUUAUGAGAGAGGAAAAUAUGGUCGUAGAAACUUUUAUCUUAUUAAAUUACCUCUCGUCAUGUUGAGAUUGCUAUCGUCUCUUUCUUGUUCCUUGCAUAUGCUAGUUUUUGCUUGCCUUGCAAAUUUGUUUGAUUAUAAUAUGCCUAUGCAUAGGAAGUAUGUUAGACUUAGAUGUGUUUGUCAUGUGUUUCAUGAUGCUCUCUUUGUGCUUCAAUUUUUGUCUUUCAUGUGAGCAUCAUUAAAAUUAUCAAUGUCUAGCUAGGGGCGUUAAACGAUAGCGCUUGUUGGGAGACAACCCAAUAUUUUUCCUUGUUGUUAUUUAAUAAAUUUUGCAUCUACUUUCUGUUUAGAUGUGUUUUUAUGUUUUAAUUAGUGUUUGUGCCAAGUAGAACCUAUAGGAUAACCUAUGAUGAUAGUUGAUUUGAUUCUGCUGAAAAACAGAAACUUUGCGCUCACUAGAAAAAAUUCAAUAAAUCACAGAAACGUGAUUUUGCAUUGAUUCUUUUUUCUGCUGAUCAAUAAACAACUUUUCCAGUACGUCCAAUUUUGGUAGGAUUUUUAGUGUUCCAUAAGUUUGUGUUAGUUACAGAUUGCUGAAGACUGUUCUGUUUUUGACAGAUUCUGUUUUUCGUGUGUUGUUUGCUUAUUUUGAUGCAUCUAUGGCUAGUAAAAUAGUUUAUAAACCAUAGAGAAGUUGGAAUACAGUAGGUUUAACACCAAAAUAAAUAAAUAAUGAGUUCAUUACAGUACCUUAUGUGGUGGUUUUUUUUUCUUUCACUAACGGAGCUUAUAAGAUUUCCUGUUGAGUUUUGUGUUGUGAAGUUUUCAAGUUUUGGGUAAAGCUUUUAUGGACUAUGGAAUAAGGAGUGGCAAAAGCCUAAGCUUGGGGAUGCCCAUGGCACCCCAAGAUAUUCAAGAAUAGCCAAAAGCCUAAGCUUGGGGAUGCCCCGGGAAGGCAUCCCCUCUUUCGUCUUUGUUCAUUGAUAACUUUACUUGGAACUAUAUUUUUAUUCGCCACAUGAUAUGUGUUUUGCUUGGAGCGUCGUGUAUUAUAUUAGUCUUUGCUUUUUAGUUUACCACAAUCAUCCUUGCUGUACACACCUUUUGGGAGAAGCCUACUUUAUUAUAAUUUGCUAGAAUACUCUAUGCGCUUCGCUUAUAUCUUUUGAGCUUGAUAGUUUUUGCUCUAGUGCUUCACUUAUAUCUUUUAGAGCACGGCAGUGGCACAAUUUUGAAGAAAUUGGUAGUCUCUCAUGCUUCACUUAUAUUAUUUUGGGAGUCUUUUAGAACAGCAUGGUAUUUGCUUUCGUUACAAAUUUGGUCCUAGAAUGAUGGGCAUCCAAGUUCGGUAUAAUGAAAACUAACAUAGGAAGUGAAUUGGAUGCUAUGAUCAAUUUGAUACUUGAUAAUUGUUUUGAGAUAUGGAGGUAGUGAUAUUAAAGUCAUGCUAGUUGGGUGAUUAUGAAUUUAAAGAAUUUUUGUGUUGAAGUUAGCAAGUCCCGUAGCAUGCACGUAUGGUUAAAGUUGUGUAACAAAUUUGAAACAUGAAGUGUACCCGGCUUGUGCAUCCUUAUGAGUGGUGGUCGGGGACGAGCGAUGGUCUUUUCCUACCAAUCUAUCCCCCUAGGAGCAUGCGUGCAGUGCUUGAUUUUCGAUGACUUCUAAAUUUUUGCAAUAAGUAUAUGAGUUCUUUUGACUAAUGUUGAGUCUAUUGAUUAUACACACUUUUAUCUUUGCACCAUUGCUAGCCUCUUCGGUACCGUGCAUUGCCCUUUCUCACCUUGAGAGUUGGUGUAAACUUCGCCGGUGCAUCCAAACCCCGUGAUACGAUACGCUCUAUCACACAUAAACCUCCUUAUAUCUUCCUCAAAACAUCCACCGUACCUACCUAUCAUGGCAUUUCCAUAGCCAUUCUGAGAUAUAUUGCCAUGCAAAUUUCCACCGUUCCGUUCAUCAUCAUCAUGACAUACUUUACUUUUGUCAUAUUGCCAUUGCAUGAUCAUGUAGUUGACAUCGUAUUUGUGGCAAAGCCACUAUGCAUUAUUUUUCAUACAUGUCACUCUUGAUUCAUUGCACCAUCCCAGUACACCGUCGGAGGCAUUCAUAUAGAGUCAUAUCUUGUUCUAGUUUUGAGUUGUAAUUCAUAUGUUGUAAUCAAUGAAAGUGUGAUGAUCAUCAUUAUUAGAGCAUUGCCCAAAAAGAAAAAAAAUAAGAAAGGCCAAAAAAAGGCCCAAACAAAAAAAAGAAGAAAGAAGAAAAAAAAGAAAAAAAAGAAAAAAAAUAAAAAUAAAAUAAAAUAAAAAGGGCAAUGCUACUAUCUCUUUUUCCACACUUGUGCUUCAAAGUAGCACCUUGUUCUUCAUGUAGUGAGUCUCAUAUUUUGUGCUUCAAAGUAGCACCAUGUUUUUCAUAUAGUGAGUCGCAUAGGUUGUCUUUUUCAUACUAGUGGGAAUUUUUCAUUAUAGAACUUGGCUUGUAUAUUCCUACGAUGGGCUUCCUCAAAUGCCCUAGGUCUUCGUGAGCAAGCAAGUUGGAUGCACACCCACUAGUUUUCUUUUGUUGAGCAUUCAUUUAUAGCUAUAGUGCAUCCGUUGCAUGGCAAUCCCUAAUCCUCAUGUUGACAUCAAUUGAUGGGAAUCUCCAUAGCCUGUUGAUUAUCCUCGUCAAUGUGAGACUUUCUCCUUUUUUGUCUUCUCCACACAAUUCCCGUCAUCAUAUUCUAUUCCGCCCAUAGUGCUAUAUCCAUGGCUCACGCUCAUGUAUUGCGUGAAGGUUGAAAAAGUUUGAAAUUAUUUAAGUAUGAAACAAUUUCUUGGCAUGUCGUCGGGGGUAUAGAAGUUGGGAACAUCUUUGUGUGACGAAAAUGAAGCAUAGCCUAACUAUAUGAUUUUGUAGGGAUGAACUUUCUUUUGCCAUGUUAUUUUGAGAAGACAUGAUUACUUUGAUUAGUAUGCGUGAAGUGUUACUAUUUCUUAUAUCAAUAUGAACUUUUAUUUUGAAUCAUUUGGAUCUGAACAUUCAUGCCACAAGAAAGAAAAUUACAUUGAGAAUUAUGCUAGGUAGCAUUUCACAUCAAAAAUUCUGUUUUUAUCAUUUACCUACUCGAGGACGAGUAGGAAUUAAGCUUGGGGAUGCUUGAUACGUCUCCAACGUAUCUAUAAUUUUUUAUUGUUCUAUGCUAUUAUAUUACCCCUUUUGGAUGUUUAUGGGCUUUAUUUUACACAUUUAUAUCAUUUUUGGGACUAGCCUACUAACCGGAGGCCCAGCCCGUAUUGCUGUUUCUUGCCUAUUUCAGUAUUUCGAAGAAAAGGAAUAUCAAACGGAGUCCAAACGGAGUGAAACCUUCGGGAGCGUGAUUUUUGGAACGAACGUGAUCCGGAGGACUUGGAGUGCAAGUCAAGAAGCAGCCGAGGCGGCCACGAGAGGAUAGGGCGUGCCCACCCCUAAACGGCGCGCCCCUGUCUCGUGGGCCCCUCGGGCGGCCACCGACGUACUUCUUCCUCCUAUAUAAGCCUACGUACCCGAAAACAUCCAGGGAGCACCCGAAACACAAUUUCCACCGUCGUAACCUUCUGUAUCGGCGAGAUCCCAUCUUGGAGCCUUCGUCGGCGCUCUGCCGGAGGGGGGGUCGAUCAUGGAGGGCUUCUACAUCAACACCAUAGCCCUUCUGAUGAGUUGUGAGUAGUUUACCACAGACCUUCAGGUCCAUAGUUAUUAUCUAGAUGGCUUCUUCUCUCUUUUUGGAUCUCAAUACAAUGUUCUCCCCCUCUCUUGUGGAUAUCUAUUCGAUGUAAUCUCUUUUUGCGGUGUGUUUGUCGAGAUCCGAUGAAUUGUGAGUUUAUGAUCAAGUUUAUCUAUGAGAAAUAUUUGCAUCUUCUCUAAAUUCUUUUAUGUAUGAUUGAGUUAUCUUUGCAAGUCUCUUCGAAUUAUCAGUCUGGUUUGGCCUACUAGAUUGAUCUUUCUUGCCAUGGGAGAAGUGCUUAGCUUUGGGUUCAAUCUUGCGGUGUCCUUACCCAGUGACAGAAAGGGUUGCAAGACACGUAUUGUAUUGUUGCCAUCGAGGAUAAAAAGAUGGGGUUUAUAUCAUAUUGCUUGAGUUUAUCCCUCUACAUCAUGUCAUCUUUCUUAAUGCGUUACUCCGUUCUUAUGAACUUAAUACUCUAGAUGCAUGCUGGAUAGCGGUCGAUGUGUGGAGUAAUAGUAGUACAUACAGGCAGGAGUCGGUCUACUUGUUGCGGACGUGAUGCCUAUAUACAUGAUCAUGCCUAUAUAAUCUCAUAAUUAUUCGCUUUUCUAUCAAUUGCUCGACAUUAAUUUGUUCACCCACCGUAAUACUUAUGCUAUCUUGAGAGAAGCCUCUAGUGAAACCUAUGGCCCCCGGGUCUAUCCUUUAUCAUAUUUGCUUCCAAUCUACUUUUAUUUGCAUCUUUAAUUUUUGCAUCUAUAUUAUAAAAUGCCAAAAAUAUAUUUAUCUUAUCAUAUUAUCUCUAUCAGAUCUCACUUUCGCAAGUGGCCGUGAAGGGAUUAACAACCCCUUUAUUGCGUUGGUUGCGAGUUCUUGGUUUGUUUGUGUAGGUGCGUGGGACUUUUGAGGAGCCUCCUACUGGAUGGAUACCUUGGUUCUCAUAAACUGAGGGAAAUACUUACGCUACUCACAACUAGGAAAAUGGCUAUAGAUGAAAUUGACACUAAUGGCGCACCACAUAUGUGGUGCGCCAUUAGUAUAUAGCAAUGGCGCACCACAUAUAAGUGUGCCAUUAAACUUCAAAUACUAAUGGCGCACCACAUACACGGUGUGCCAUUAGUAACAAAUUUUGUUUUUUACAAAACUAGUAAUGGCGCAUCAGGGGAUAGUGUGCCAUUACUAAUUUAACUAGUAAUGGCGCACCACACACUUAGUGGGCCACUACUAACAUAUAUUUUUUUCAAAGUUAGUAAUGGCGCACCAUACCCACGGUGCGCCAUUACUAAUUUUGACCCAAAAUUCCCCCCGAAUGCACCCCCCUUGGACCGCCUUUUCAGUUUAAAAAAAUAAAAGAAAAUGAUGGAAAUGUCAAAAAAAUAAAAGAAAAUCAUCUACUCGAAAAAUUACAUCAAAAUUUAACGGGGGAACCCUGUUAAACAUUUUCAAAAUCCUCAAAAACCUAACAGAAAAAAGUUAC